rnacentral:tRNA from 1 species
AUUUANNUAGUUUAAUAAAAAUUUUGAUUUGUGAUUUCAAAGAUAUAAGUAAUUAUUUUAAAUA